GAUGAACGCUGGCGGCGUGCCUAAUACAUGCAAGUCGAGCGAACGGACGAGAAGCUUGCUUUUCUGAUGUUAGCGGCGGACGGGUGAGUAACACGUGGAUAACCUACCUAUAAGACUGGGAUAACUUCGGGAAACCGGAGCUAAUACCGGAUAAUAUUUUGAACCUCAUUGUUCAUAAGUGAAAGUCGGUCUUGCUGUCACUUAUAGAUUGAUCCGCGCUGCAUUCGCUAGUUGGUAAGGUAACGGCUUACCAAGGCAACGAUGCAUAGCCGACCUGAGAGGGUGAUUGGCCACACGGGAACUGAGACACGGUCCAGACUCCUACGGGAGGAAGCAGUAGGGAAUCUUACGCAAUGGGCGAAAGCCUGACGGAGCAACGCCGCGUGAGGGAUGAAGGUCUUCGGAUCGUAAAACUAUGUUAUUAGGGAAGAACAUAUGUGUAAGUAACUGUGCACAUCUUGACGGUACCUAAUCAGAAAGCCACGGCUAACUACGUG
rnacentral:rRNA from 1 species